GCAGUAUAUGGGCGCCCCCUAGCGUUUGGAUUAUUUCUGCCUGAAUCGCUCUUUAAGGUGGAAGAGCCAUCUUAAAUGGAAACUACAUCGGUCGCUCGCCACUCACAUACACCAGAGUAACAUGCGCCUAUUUUAAUCUGAUUAAUGCUUUUGAGAUUUCCUUCUAAUUGACUUGGACGUUGCAGAGCUGCGUUUGUAAGUCUCUACCGCACAUUUUCUCCACAGUGUUGUUCACGCACGGGAGUAUCGCAGCGUUUCGGGUAAUUUUGUCCAGUUUAUUGAAACGAUCAAAAGUGAGCACCGUGCCUCAUCUCCGACCAUUCAAAAGCCAGUAUGUGAACAAGACAGCCGAAAGCAAUAGGCUACCGCAGAAGCAAAUCAUAGCGUACCGAUGCAAAGUGGAUUUUAUCCCAAGCUCAAGGUAGAAUACGGCGUUCUGGUAGACUAGCUGUGCAUUGUCUCAGGCCUCCGCAGGGGCAGAGGACACGGCCACUGUGAACCGAAGAAACCGAAGAAUGCCGAGUGGUGACAUCAACACCAAGUGCAUGAUGGGAGGAGGAAAUUCACGCAAAGAUUCCACAAUGACAAAGCAGGGAAGGUAGGCCUUAAUGAAUGUGUUCGAGCAACUGGUGCAACUAACCUCUAUUCUUUUCUAGGCAAAAGGAUCAUUGGUCAGCUGACAACCAACUGCUCCAAAUCAACUGUACGUAUUGUAAUUCUGCACAAACGAUGAUGAUGCAUGAUUAAAUAAUGCAACCGAACAAGAAGCAGCAUUGUGUUCCUUUAAAGAAUGAUGCAAUGAAAAAAACGUUGAUGACAUUAGUAAAAAUGUUUAAUUAUCAACUGUAUCAACAAAAGCUCAAGAAAAUAAACAUGGGCCCU